rnacentral:lncRNA from 1 species
ACAGUAUGAUAUCACAAUCAAAGAAGCACAAAGAGAAACUUGACGUAAACAAUCUUUUCACCGCAGAUGAUGUGUAGUAAGAGGCUAGACAUCAUCAGCAUCACCACCUCUGUUAUUACCUUUUCUAGAGUCGUACAGCAGAUUUCUGUACGAGAACAAAAAUGUCAGUUCUGGGAAAUCUUUCUACGUUGUGCUUAUAGUACAUACCGGUUCUAUGUUAUACAGUAUGUGACAUACAACUGGUAUAUACUAUACUUUAACUUUUUCUUCAUUGUAAUAAUAAUUUUAAAUAAAAUAAAUAUUAAAAGUAAUUAUACAGUACU